rnacentral:rRNA from 1 species
UACGAAGGGGGCUAGCGUUGCUCGGAAUCACUGGGCGUAAAGCGCACGUAGGCGGAUUGUUAAGUCGGGGGGUGAAAUCCUGGAGCUCAACUCCAGAACUGCCUUCGAUACUGGCGAUCUUGAGUCCGGGAGAGGUGAGUGGAACUCCGAGUGUAGAGGUGAAAUUCGUAGAUAUUUCGGAAGAACACCAGUGGCGAAGGCGGCUCACUGGCCCGGAACUGACGCUGAGACGCGAAAGCGUGGGGAGCAAACAGG